rnacentral:rRNA from 1 species
UAUGCCUACGGGGGGCAGCAGUGGGGAAUAUUGCACAAUGGGGGAAACCCUGAUGCAGCAACGCCGCGUGAGUGAAGAAGUAUUUCGGUAUGUAAAGCUCUAUCAGUAGGGAAGAAAAUGACAGUACCUGACUAAGAAGCCCCGGCUAACUACGUGCCAGCAGCCGCGGUAAUACGUAGGGGGCAAGCGUUAUCCGGAUUUACUGGGUGUAACGGGGGCGCAGACGGCGAUGCAAGCCAGGAGUGAAAGCCCGGGGCCCUACCCCGGGACUGCUCUUGGAAAUG